CUCUCUUCAUUUUCCAUCUCUCCUUCCAUUUCGGACAACCUCUCACCGAAAAUUUUCCCGAGAAAAGUCCCCACCGGGAAAAUUUAUCGUUCAGAAGUCAAAAACGAUUGGUUCCAAAACUACUCGCGCCUAAAUUACCGGUUUGGUGUCUUGUGUCUUCUUUCUACAAGUCUUUCGACUUUCUCCACUUUUUUUUCUUUGGGCCCCCACGACCUUUGCAACACCGUGGUGUUGCGUGUUGCGUUUGACCGAUACACGGUACACCGUUUGACCUGAGCUUUGUGCUACAAACCGAAGUAUAUAUGAACAUGACGUCACGUUAUGAUCCGAAACACAUGUCGAGGCAGACGAAACCGUCAGACACUCCCUCGUCUUCUCCGUCCCGUAGUCACCGGAGACACCCUCUCCUCCAAAGAAGCCUCUCCUCCCCGUCUCCGAACGCCACUUGCGGCGGAUCAACACCCGCCGAGUUCUGCGGCGGCACCACGGCGAGUUGCGCCGCCAUAUGGUGCUGCUGUCCUUGCGGAAUAGUCAACCUCGUCGUCCUCGCGGUCUACAAAGUCCCGCGCGGAAUCUGCCGCCGCGCUAUCCGCAGUCGCCGCCGUAAACAGCUCGUCAAGAACGGUAUCCUCCCGCCGCUUCCGUCCGACGGGAAAGGCGAGAGGGUGCAGAGAGUGUUCCAGAACUCGGAGUUCGCGAUCUUCCCGUUGGAUAGCAACGAUGUCUCGGAGGAGGAGGAGGAGGACGAUUUCUUUGAUCAUAAAUACUUCGGGAAGGCAGCGGCGGUUGCGGCUGAGCUGACGACGGACGAGGAGACCGAUGAAGAGGACGAGGCGGUGUUGGCGUUGGAGAAAGAGAUGUGGAACAGGUUUUACGGUGCUGGAUUCUGGAGAAGUCCGUCGCAGAGAGAAUCGGUAUCUUCUCCGAGAGUUUCGAAGUCUCUUUCGGCGUCGCCGAGGCCGUCGUUUACCGAAGUGUUUCGGAACUCAGCGAUUAGAGGCGGUGGAGGAGGAGCUACGGUGACGGCGUUGACACCGAGAGCCGUUUGGCAAUGACAUUAUCUUGUGAAAAAUAUAUUGCCAACUAGUAUUGAUUAUGAUGUGGAACCAUACCAAACUGAAUACAAGACAAUCCAGUAGAAGGUUUGAUUUGUAAAUUGUAAUGUUUUAACAAGAUACGCUUGAACAGCAGCUAAAGGGUGUUGUAGACGCUGAUAUGAGGACCACAAACAUCGCUUUAACUCACAAGUGUUUAGCAUUUAAUUCAGUUGUCCUUUACUAGAAUCCACUAAUUCAGCUUUGGUAAAUUUCGUUUUGACAAAAACUGAAGAACCAAACCGUCUAUAACCAUUGGUUUCUGUUUGGAUCAUAUUAUAUGGGCAUAGGUACAAAGGGAUGAGCUGAGACGAAAUAUAGAAAAUAUACUGACA